rnacentral:rRNA from 1 species
AUACGGAGGAUCCGAGCGUUAUCCGGAUUUAUUGGGUUUAAAGGGUGCGCAGGCGGCCAUUUAAGUCAGCGGUUAAAUCGUGGGGCUCAACCCCAUUCUGCCGUUGAUACUGGGUGGCUUGAUUGCGGUCGAGGUUGGCGGAAUUCGUUGUGUAGCGGUGAAAUGCAUAGAUAUGACGAAGAACACCGAUUGCGUAGGCAGCUGACCAGACCGCAAAUGACGCUCAUGCACGAAAGUGCGGGGAUCGAAUAGGAUUAGAUACCCUGGUAGUCCGCACAGUAAACGAUGAAUACUUGUUUUCGGCGAUAUAAUGUCGGAGGCAAAGCGAAAGCGAUAAGUAUUCCACCUGGGGAGUACGCCGGCAACGGUGAAACUCAAAGGAAUUGACGGGG